GACGAACGCUGGCGGCGUGCUUAACACAUGCAAGUCGAGCGGAAAGGCCCUUCGGGGUACUCGAGCGGCGAACGGGUGAGUAACACGUGAGUAAUCUGCCCUUCACUCUGGGAUAGCCACCGGAAACGGUGAUUAAUACCGGAUACGACCAAUCCCUGCAUGGGGUGUUGGUGGAAACUUUUUUGGGUGGGGGAUGUGCUCGCGGCCUAUCAGCUUGUUGGUGGGGUAAUGGCCUACCAAGGCUUCGACGGGUAGCCGGCCUGAGAGGGUGACCGGCCACACUGGGACUGAGACACGGCCCAGACUCCGACGGGAGGCAGCAGUGGGGAAUAUUGGACAAUGGGCGGAAGCCUGAUCCAGCAACGCCGCGUGAGGGAUGACGGCCUUCGGGUUGUAAACCGCUGUCGGGAGGGAUGAAGUGCAUCGGGGCUAUCCCCGGUGUCUGACAGAGCUCCAGAGGAAGCACGGGCUAAGUUCGUGCCAGCCGCCGCCGUAACAC
rnacentral:rRNA from 1 species